GAUGAACGCUGGCGGCGUGCCUAAUACAUGCGAGUCGAGCGAACAGACGAGGAGCUUGCUCCUCUGACGUUAGCGGCGGACGGGUGAGUAACACGUGGAUAACCUACCUAUAAGACUGGGAUAACUUCGGGAAACCGGAGCUAAUACCGGAUAAUAUAUUGAACCGCAUGGUUCAAUAGUGAAAGACGGUUUUGCUGUCACUUAUAGAUGGAUCCGCGCCGCAUUAGCUAGUUGGUAAGGUAACGGUUUACCAAGGCAACGAUGCGUAGCCGACCUGAGAGGGUGAUCGGCCACACUGGAACUGAGACACGGUCCAGACUCCUACGGGAGGCAGCAGUAGGGAAUCUUCCGCAAUGGGCGAAAGCCUGACGGAGCAACGCCGCGUGAGUGAUGAAGGUCUUCGGAUCGUAAAACUCUGUUAUUAGGGAAGAACAAAUGUGUAAGUAACUAUGCACGUCUUGACGGUACCUAAUCAGAAAGCCACGGCUAACUACGUG
rnacentral:rRNA from 1 species